rnacentral:lncRNA from 1 species
AGUUCUUGAGGCAGCUAUUAUCGAAAAUAAUGGGUUUGGCACUUGUGAUGAUUCCUGAGGCUGAAUCUGGACUCAGCAAGAAAGAGUGCCAUGAUUGAUUAGCCAUGUCUACCAUUAGCUCAAAACUAGGGACAGAUCCUGCCAGAUACUUGCUGACAACAGCUUAGAAGUUUCCCUUGGCCAUACAAACCUUCUUAAAGGACUGACUGUUAGCAGUAAUGGAAAAUUCAGAUGGAUUACUGAUGCCACCCCUGGAGAGGUUCCUGAAUUCUGCUCAACACAAAAUCACCAUGAUUGGUAAACACUUUAAUAAGCUCACUGAAGCUUAAUGACUUCAAUUGUUCCCAUCAUUGCAUAUGUCCCUAACAGCACUCUAAUUUCAUAACUUUUACAAUUGUAACAAAAAUAAUUAUUGUCAGUUUCAUGAUUGUGAGCUCUGCUGGGAGCAAAAACUAUGAGCAGACUAAGACCAAUCUACCUGCCUGCCAAUAUUUUGAAAGACUUAAAACUCUUCUCUAUAAAUUAG